ensembl:lncRNA MALINC1 mitosis associated long intergenic non-coding RNA 1
CUCUCGCGUCCCUCCGUUUUAGCUGCCGCCGCGGCGGCCGCCGAGCGCGCUCUUUCCGCCCCCUUCUCGCGCGUGAGCGCGCCCUAUCGGCUCCUGGCGCGUCAACAUUCCGCGGGCCAGGCCUUGGGGCGCGUCUGAGGAGGGGGAUGUCUGUGGCCUCUCCGCCCACACUUCCUCCACCCACCGCCCACAGCGCCCCAGAAGGACCUAUUACUCGUUUGGCUUCUGAAGGCCGAAGCCAGGCUCUGGCGGGGAUAGAACCCUGAAGGGCCUGCGCCAGCUCCAACUUAGGGCCCUGUGCGUCGUUGCGACUUCUGCUACCACCCUAUCACGCGGCACCCCCGCCCCAACUCCGCCCGGGUCUCUGAAGAGGCAAUAGGCCUUUCAUCUCCGGGGAAAGUCUCACCUUGGCCCUCAGACACCCGCCAAGAGGGGUCGGAAGGACAGAAUUAGCAUAGAGAAGAGUGGCUAGAGCACUUUUCAGGCUCUGGCCCCAGGAAUCCUUGACAGGAAGCGUGGGGUUGCUGCCCAGCCUCCCACGCAGUGUAAUAUGUUGAAGCCGGGCCCCUUUGAGGGAAUGCGACUUCCUUGGGCCGAGGGGGAAAGGGUAAAAGUUAAUUUUCAUAAAAUGCUAUGCAAGGGCUAAAUGUGAAAUUAUAAAAUGUCCUUUAAGACAGUCUUCUUGAAAUCGUAUCAAGUUUGACAAGAUUUUUGGUGCACGGUAACGCUUUUGCUCGCUUUCUACGCUGUCACGUCUCCAUCCUGCAACACUGAAUACGUAGAUGGAACGUGGAUCAGCUAAUAACUGCAGCAAAAUAAAAACUGCAUUUAUCAUCUUUAUCAUUAUUUAAAUAGACCUCCGAGAAGUCAAACUGUGAUUUAGGAAAACUUAAUCAUUGCCUCAACCUAUUUAACUAUUUUGUUUUGAAGUUACUUUGCAAAUAUACCACAAAAUCCCUCUUUGUUAGGCAGUGGUAGACUUUUAAACUCACUUGUUAGAGAAUCUUUCCCAGAAGCAUAUCUAGUUGAGCCUGCGAGGCAAGUAGGACUAAGGUAUAAUUACUCCCAUUUUACAGAUGAAAAUUUAGUUAUCAAAAUGUAAGUCAGUUGUUCAGCAUUGUGAGGAGUCUAUCACUGAUAAAGGGAAAACUCUAAGGUCUAUUAUUGCCUGCUUUAUUCACUAAACCAGAAAUCUCUCAAUUGUUUUUUUCCAAGUAUCUUUUGCUGCCUCUUACGUAUUGUAGGCAGUGCCUGAUGGCUGAGAAGAAUCGCAGAGGACUAGAAAAGGUUUGAGUCUGAAAUUAUCUGGCACAGAGGAUUAAAGCUCAGAAAUAAGUGAUUGCGAAACAGUUCAACUUCCCUGUUAAUGACAACAACAACAGCAACACGCUUAUUAAUUCCUAGCUGGAGCAUCAAGCUUAUGAAGAUUUCCAAGACUUUAUUGUUGACCCUUGUUGAAGAGAACUCUACUUGGCUUCUUUCCUGGCUUUCCUAAAUUGUUCACAUACAAGAUAAACUACCGUCAUUCAGACUUACAGAAGUGAGAAGACAAGCUGAACCAAAUGUAAAAUGGUAGCAAUUUACAGAUGUCAGAACUAACAUGUGGAUGAACUUAGAGAUGGAGAAGAAAGCUGGGCUUUUCCAAAGAGUGGAUCUAUCUGAACUGGAUAGCACUAUUGAACUUUGUUGCAUAUUUUGUGGUAGCUCUAAAACUCCUCUGCUUGCUUACAUACAACCAGACACCAGUGCCUUCUGAAGCUAAUCCAGGCCAUUUUUAUAACCUAAUGCAGUAGCACUUUGCAAUUAGAUGAAGAAGAUCGGUGGGAUUUCUUUCUGUGGUGAUUAAAAUGUGUCAGGGGAAGAAAUCAAGACAAUACUCCAAGUGAAAAAUAUAAAGUCAGUUAUUUCUUUAAUAUUUUGUGUUAUAGUAAUCAUUUUUAUAUUUUGAGCAUACUUUUUCUUGUCUACUUAAAUACUCAAAAUUAAUUAUAAAAUGUAAAUGUAAGCACAAUGAGAUACCAUCUCAUCCCAGUUAAAAUGGCUUUUAUCAAAAAGAUAGGGAAUAAUGAAUACUGGUGGAAGGAUGUGGAGAAUGGGGAACCCUCGUACACUGUCAAUGAGAAUGUAAAUUAGUACAGCCACUAUGGAAAACUGUAUGGAAGUGCCUCCGAAAACAAAGUAGAACUACCAUGUGAUCCAGCAAUUACACUAGUGGGUAUAUAUUCAAAAGAAAGGAAAUCAACAUAUUAAAGAGAUAGCUGCAUUCUCAUGUUUAUUGAAGUCCUGUUGAAAUAGCCAAAAUAUGGAAUCAACCUAAGUGCCCAUCAGUGGAUGAAUGGUUAAAGAAAAUGUGAUUGAUAUGCAAUGGAAUAUUAUUCAGCCAUAAAAAAGAAUGAAAUCCUGGCGGGGCACAGUGGCUCAUGCAAGUAAUCCCAGCACUGACCUCAUGAAGACAGAGAGUAGAUUGGUGGUUACCAGAGGUUGAGAAGGGGAGAGGAGAGGAGGGAUGAAGAGAGGUUGAUUGAUGGAUAGAAAUAUACAGUUUGAUAAUGAUAAAUCAGUAGGGUGACUAUAGUUUAUAAUAACCUAUUGUAUGGUUCAAAAUAGCUAAAAGAGAAUAAUUGAAAUAACGUAAGACAAAAAUUUAAGAUGAUAGAUAUCCCAAUUACACUGAUUUGAUCUUUACAAAUUAUAUGAAUGUAUUAAAUUAUUACAUGUAUCCCCAAAAUAUGUACAAGUAUUUUGUAUCAAUAAAAAAUAAAAUUUAAGAUAAAGUAAAUGUAAUGAUUAGCUUAUAUUUCCUAGAUCGGAAAUAAAUAUUUACUUAAGUAUGUUUAUGAUGAAGAGUUUUUUUAUAUUACUAUAAAAAUAGACACCUUACAUAAACAUAUUACAGUUGGUGUUUAGAUGGCUCUUUUUUUUCUGGCCUUGAAUUUCUGGAAAGUAGGUAUGGCCUGCUAUGUCAGGACUAGUUCUUGGAAUUCUUUGUUGUUUUUCAGUCAGCCUUAUUUUCUUGGGUCAUGUUUUGAACAAUAUUUAUCAAAUGUCUGUUUACCAGACGUUGUUCCAGAUGCUUGAACAAAAUGAAAUGUCUGCUGUCAUAGAGUUUCCAGUCUAUGUAAGACAGUAAACAAAUGUAUAAUAUAAUGCUAGAUAGUGAUAAGUGCUAAAAAGAAGAAGAAAAUAGGAAAGGGGAAAGAGAGUUUCUGUGUGAUUGUAUGUGAAAGUGUCCAUGCAUGCCGCUCACCCAGUAUUUUAAAUAGAGUGAUCAAGGAAGCCUGUCUGAAGAAGUAACAUUUGAACAGAGAUCUGAAAUAGUCAGUCACGGGAACAUUUAGGGAGAUGUUCCAGGCAGGCAUUGUGGACAAUUUAUGUCACAAAAAAGUCACCCAAGUGUUAAGUCAAGUAACAUCCUGUAUGAUAACUAUAUAUACAUUUUUUUGUUUUUUCUUAAGUGAAAAACAAACUUAUUAGGUUUUCUGGGUACUCAUUAGGUUUUCAGAAAAGUUUUUCAUUUAAUAUCAUUAU